CAUUGGAACUGAGACACGGUCCAAACUCCUACGGGAGGCAGCAGUGAGGAAUAUUGGUCAAUGGACGAGAGUCUGAACCAGCCAAGUCGCGUGAGGGAAGACUGCCCUAUGGGUUGUAAACCUCUUUUAUAAGGGAAGAAUAAGUUCUACGUGUAGAAUGAUGCCUGUACCUUAUGAAUAAGCAUCGGCUAACUCCGUGCCAGCAGCCGCGGUAAUACGGAGGAUGCGAGCGUUAUCCGGAUUUAUUGGGUUUAAAGGGUGCGUAGGCGGUUUAUUAAGUUAGUGGUUAAAUAUUUGAGCUAAACUCAAUUGUGCCAUUAAUACUGGUAAACUGGAGUACAGACGAGGUAGGCGGAAUAAGUUAAGUAGCGGUGAAAUGCAUAGAUAUAACUUAGAACUCCGAUAGCGAAGGCAGCUUACCAGACUGUAACUGACGCUGAUGCACGAGAGCGUGGGUAGCGAACAGGAUUAGAUACCCUGGUAGUCCACGCCGUAAACGAUGCUCACUGGUUCUGUGCGAUAUAUUGUACGGGAUUAAGCGAAAGUAUUAAGUGAGCCACCUGGGGAGUACGUCGGCAACGAUGAAACUCAAAGGAAUUGACGGGGGCCCGCACAAGCGGAGGAACAUGUGGUUUAAUUCGAUGAUACGCGAGGAACCUUACCUGGGUUUAAAUGGGAAAUGCCGUAUUUGGAAACAGAUAUUCUCUUCGGAGCGUUUUUCAAGGUGCUGCAUGGUUGUCGUCAGCUCGUGCCGUGAGGUGUCGGGUUAAGUCCCAUAACGAGCGCAACCCUUACCGUUAGUUGCUAGCAUGUAAUGAUGAGCACUCUAACGGGACUGCCACCGUAAGGUGAGAGGAAGGCGGGGAUGACGUCAAAUCAGCACGGCCCUUACACCCAGGGCUACACACGUGUUACAAUGGCCGGUACAGAGGGCCGCUACCAGGUGACUGGAUGCCAAUCUCAAAAGCCGGUCGUAGUUCGGAUUGGAGUCUGUAACCCGACUCCAUGAAGUUGGAUUCGCUAGUAAUCGCGCAUCAGCCAUGGCGCGGUGAAUACGUUCCCGGGCCUUGUACACACCGCCCGUCAAGCCAUGGAAGCCGGGGGUGCCUGAAGUCCGUAACCGCGAGGAUCGGCCUAGGGCAAAACUGGUAACUGGGGCUAAGUCGUAACAAGGUAGCCGUACCGGAAGGUGCGGCUG
rnacentral:rRNA from 1 species